AGGGCCCUGUUCUUUUGUUUUUUUAUUUAUCUUUUUUCGUUUUCUCUGUUUGUUUUACUGUGCGAGAGACGGAAUUGGUGAGGGUGAGGGAUGAGGGUUUGAGCCAAUUGUCUUUUAAGAGAGAGGAAAUGUGUAGACUUUAUUUCUCUUUUUUUUUUGUUACCGUUGGCCAAGAGAGAGUAAAUAGAGCUAGCUCGCAUCUAAC
rnacentral:lncRNA from 1 species